AGUUGUCAGUAGCGGUGGCCGUUCUGCAGUGCACAGAGGAAGCCGGGGGGCGGGGCAGUCUGUGGAGGAGACAGCAGCCGCGGGUCCUGGCGCAGAAUGUAGCAGCCGGCAGGGAGAGGAUGUCCCAGCUUCCAGGAAGUUACCCAUAUCUAUGUGCUUGUGUACCGGAGCCCUGACAUUCCCCAGUGGAACACCGGCAGCUACAGAGACUUUGCAGCUUGGAGGAGCCUGAGCUUCUCCUGCCACCAGUCCACGCCGGCAUCUACUGUGACAGCAUGUCCAGCACAACAGUCACACGUAGCAGAGCCACGGAGGUCCUAUUAUCCAGCAGGUUAUAGGAUGGAUAAUGAAAGUACCUGUAUGAUGGACAUUCCCUGAUGUUUUGCUGAAGGAAUAUGUGAUCUGUCCAUUGGCUCCA